UCGCCGCCGCCGCCGCCGUCGACGCCUCUGCGGCUGCUGGUCCCCGCCCUCCCCCGCCCACAUGCUGACUGGGGAAGCACCGCCCACUCGGCCCCGGCUACCCUGCCCGGUUGGGGCGCGCCCGCUUCGAGGGCCCCCAUUGGCCCGAUACGGCAGGUUCCGCGUGCGGGCCUCUGGACACAGCGCUGUGAUUGGUUCGUCGGCCUGUCCGCCUGACGUAACCAAUGGGCGGGGGAAAGGGAGUGAAUGUCAGGAAGGAUGAAGACGGGGAAGGAGGGGGAGGAGCUGACAGUCGUUGCGCCCGGGCCAGCCGAGGGAAAAAAAAAGAUAAAGAAAUGCGCCUGCGCACUUGCUUGCGGCCCCGAGCUGCGGGGCGAUAGGCGGGAGUCACGUGAUCCGGUCUAGAGACCGCACCCCGCGGGGGCUUUUCCGGCGCUUACAGCCCCAGGGGACGCAAAAUCGAGUUCAGCAACCUGGACGGAGGGGUGUGGUGGGUGGCAGCCUGCUACUCCAGCCCCGUGGGCUUCCAAAGAGGCCCAUUUCUUAGAUGGGCAAGUUGAGCCUUAGAGUCCAAAGAAAAACUUCCAAGUUGCUAGGCCAGCGGACCCCUCCUCCAGCCUGCUCGGCGGCCAGUGCGCACGCGGCUCCGUACGCGUCACGCGUGGCGGGGGCGCUCCGGCCCGUCCCCUGCAGGCGUUCAGGCGUCCUUGGGAGACACCGCUUCUUGACAAACUGCAGCGGCCACCCAGGCGGACCGCGAAGCCGAGAAUAAACCCAGGCAGGAGAGGGGGUGCCGAGGCCGGGCCUUGUCUACACUUUCGCGAACUUGGCGCCCCCGCACCUGUCCCAAAAAGCACACUCCUGGGCCACGUGCGGCAGCCUGCAUCACGCGCCAGCCCCCGCCUCCUCCGGCCGGAAUCCGCGUGGCCGCUCCAAGUGGGAGGCCCGGCUUCCAGGGAGAAAGUUCUGCGCCAACUUCUCGUUAACCCGCCGUGCGCAAUCGCCUUGUCACCCUCGGCGAAUCCGGGCUUCGCGCCUGCUGUGAGCCAGGCGCCGAGCUGCGGGCUGCGGUCACCCGGCCGGGGUCGUACGCCUGGGCUCAAGGUCUGGGGAGGAAGCAGCCACGUAAAGGGGUGAUGACCGCACAGAGGCAGAACUGGCUGUGUAGACUCACACGCUGGCGGCGGGGGCUUGAGCCACUCACUGUGGGGCUUAGAGAAGUCCGCCCUGCCAGAGCGCGCUUCUACAGAGCAACUUGGCUCCAAAGCCAUCACCUUUGGAAUUAAAUCUGACCUCCUCACUGUGGGCUACUAAUUCCUGCAAGACCUGGCCCUGCCUGUUCUGUGUUCAUCUGAAGGCCACUCUGCUUGCUUGUUCUGCCCAGCCACGCUGGCCUUCUUUGAGACACCAAGUUCUUUUCUGCUUCAGGGCCUUUGCCCUUGCAGUUCCCUCUCUCUGGAAUCUUCUCUUCCUUGUCACCAUUCUUCAGGGCUCUGCUCAAAUGGCCCAGAAGCAGAGACCCCCUUGUCAGGCCAGCCCUGUUAAAGUACCACCCUCCACACUCUGUAUUGACUGGUUUUAUUUUUUCAAGCUUGUAUCACUAUCUGAAAUGAUUUAUGUCUCCUCUCACCAAGAAGUACGUUCAUGGAGGGCAGGGAUUUGGGCAGUCUUGUUCCUGGUAGAAUCUUAAAAAAAAAAAGUAGGAAGAAAGGGGGAUGGAGGCCAUGGCAGAAAGGACAUGCCAUGGAAAAGUAGGGGUAAUAGAAGAACCCCAAGUUCGUUAGGCCAACCGGAGUGGGAGCCGGCAGCAGGCAGGGCACUUUGUCCACUCAGUAUUAAAGGCACACAGACUAGGUUCUGUUUUAUACAGGCACUACGAAAACAAUUUAUUGAUUCUGUAAUAUAAACAAAAUUUUUUUUUCAAUAGGAAAAAUUCUUCACUUAUUUUUACAGCACACAAUAAUUUGAGUCUUGACGUUUUCUGUGAUAAGUGAGAUUUUUCUGGGACCUAUCAAGGUUUUAAAUCACACACACACACAAGAAAUGACUGAAGACCAGGCUACUGUUAGAUGAUUCUUUUUUUUUUUCAUUCUAAAUUGUCUUUUAAAAAACCUAAGCAACA